UUUAACACAAGGGAAUUUUUGUUGUAGACUCAGAGAUGAUGGCGGAGGCAAGAGGACCUGUUAUUUCGUGUAGAUGCAGCAAAACCGAAGACUGUCAGGGUAUUUGCGCCGCGUGCCCCAACUAUAGUUGCAUUAAUAACCUUUGUACUUGCCUUUCAAACGCACCUCCAUUUCCAUAGUCUUAGAAUCUACACACUCCAACACUUGAAUGAAAUGGUGGGAUUGUUUUGUGUAAUUUGAAAUAAAUUAUCGUGCAAUGGAUCUAAUAAGAAAAAAUAUUGUAAUUAUUGUAAUUUUAAUUUUCUUUUUACCCUUCUCUGCCCCUCCCCCUCUUUCUAGUAGCGAAAAGNNNNNNNNNNNNNNNNNNNNNNNNNNNNNNNNNNNNNNNNNNNNNNNNNNNNNNNNNNNNNNNNNNNNNNNNNNNNNNNNNNNNNNNNNNNNNNNNNNNNNNNNNNNNNNNNNNNNNNNNNNNNNNNNNNNNNNNNNNNNNNNNNNNNNNNNNNNNNNNNNNNNNNNNNNNNNNNNNNNNNNNNNNNNNNNNNNNNNNNNNNNNNNNNNNNNNNNNNNNNNNNNNNNNNNNNNNNNNNNNNNNNNNNNNNNCCACCGUAUUCUUUUGGUGGGGACACUUUGUUAAUUUAUUAACAACACUAUGCACUAGAUGUGUAUCAAAUGGAAACGUGCUCUGUUAAAACUUUGUUAGAAAAAAUUGCAUAAGCACCUAUUAUAAGCUAAAGCAUUAAAAACAUUUUCUAGGAAAACUUAGCUGGACAAUACCUUGGGUAAAGGAAAGAGUAAACAUGUUUUUGACUCCCCCUAAUUUUAAAAAUAUUGAAACAUGGUACAAAUUUUGAAACAAUUUUUUGUUGCUAAAUACUUCGUCAAAGAGAAUCAUACUAUGAAGACAUGCCUUUUUAAUUACAACGAUAACCAUUGAGUUUCAUUGUAUACUCUAGGUUCAUUUGCCAAUAACUCUUUUGUACAUCAUAAACCUUGGUUGUUUGUUUCCAUUUAUUCACAAUCUCUUGCAACAAAUUUUGACAUUUUAACUGUAGUGAUAGUUUUAUUAUCCUUGUAGCGAGCCCAAGAUACCAAUUGCUCCCACCCAUGAUUUUGAAUUUUAAAUACUUUAUUUAAAUGAUUGUGAUGUUUAGAAAUUUAAAAAAUAAACUAAUUUUCUUCUAAAUUUUAUUACUUAGCGAUCCGCUGCUUGGGAUAGGAAGAACUUAAACCUUCGGCCUGACAAACCUAGGAAGUCAUCUAGGUGAGAAUUAACCCAAAAUUGGUAUUACCUAUCCAUGGACCUCUUACCUCAAGUUGGUCUGGACUGUGAGGUCGAAAGAUAAGUAGUUGUUGCCAACUCAUUAGUUUAGUGGAAGAUCGAGAGAUCCUNNNNNNNNNNNNNNNNNNNNNNNNNNNNNNNNNNNNNNNNNNNNNNNNNNNNNNNNNNNNNNNNNNNNNNNNNNNNNNNNNNNNNNNNNNNNNNNNNNNNNNNNNNNNNNNNNNNNNNNNNNNNNNNNNNNNNNNNNNNNNNNNNNNNNNNNNNNNNNNNNNNNNNNNNNNNNNNNNNNNNNNNNNNNNNNNNNNNNNNNNNNNNNNNNNNNNNNNNNNNNNNNNNNNNNNNNNNNNNNNNNNNNNNNNNNNNNNNNNNNNNNNNNNNNNNNNNNNNNNNNNNNNNNNNNNNNNNNNNNNNNNNNNNNNNNNNNNNNNNNNNNNNNNNNNNNNNNNNNNNNNNNNUAUAUACUUUUAGCAAUAUUCACACUCUGGAUUCUACGUACGUCCGAAGUUGGUCACUGUCCAAAGUGGGCGUAGUUUAUCUGCAAAUCAGUGGUGGCUCAUCUACAAUCCGGAGUGAUAUGUUAGACGAGUUCCGGGGAAUUCAUACGUGAGGUGUGUAGCGGAUUUGGGUAGGACUUUUCUGUUAAUUUGAAACUUCAAUGCAUUCAUAAGCAUGUGCAUAUAAAAUUGUGAAUACCAAUAUAACGAAGUGAAGCGUUUUAUGUGAAAAACUGUUAAUCUGAGGUGCUUUAUGGUUGUCUUUAAUCUCACGAUUGCUAAUUCAUGUGCCUUAUUGUUUUGUUGUUUUAUUUUGAUUUUCUUGUGACUGAACUCACACAGAGCUUCAUAGCUCAAUGCCCUUUAGUUCCCAUCCUUAUAGAUAACCCACCAGGUUAGGAUGCGACAUGUGGAGGGCUCGAACAAGUUUUAAUGUUAUGAAAGUAUUGUUAUGCUUAUUUUAAAAUUUAUGUUAUUUUGGAACUGUACUGUAUUAUUUAUUUUCUGCCAUUGGAUUCAUAUUUAGGUUUUGGUUUUAUAUUGCAAGCAUGACAUAUAAAUUGUUGUUUUUAAGAUGAUGAAAUAUGGAUUUCAAUUAAAUAUGCAUGAAAUAUAGAUGUUAGUAAAACUCAGGAAAAGCCAUUUUUCCGCUGAAAGGUCAUAAUUAAAUUUUGUCUAAUAAAUAGAAUGUAACCAUGUUUUGUUUUCUUAUCACCUUUUACAAGAAAAUAUAAAGAUAAAUAAAAUGUUUUAAUGUGACUAUUUAAAAUCUUCGAUUGCACUAGGCCAUCACGGUGGUCGAUGUAAUCUCCCGAACUCGGGCCUACCGUCUAGGCCAAUUUGGGGAGGUUACAAUUUCAAUGCCAUAAAGUACUAAAACCAUAUUUUCAUUCAUCUUCAGCAUAGAUUAUUUCAUGUUGAUUUGAGUUGAAUUAAAAUAUUUAAUUUGAACUUAUAAAUUUGCCAUAUUUAAGGGAAAAAAAAGUGGUUUUACUUCAAACAAAAAGAAGAGAUAAAUUGUUACCAACUAAAUUGAUGAACAAGAACUUGAUAUGAUAUAUACGUGAAUACAAUAAAAAUACAUUAAUUGCGCUAUAAUUGUGUAUAAUAUACUUUUUAUUUAGUUAUAUUGUGUUUAUACAAAAUUAGUAAAGAUAAAAUACUAUGCAUCAAAUAUGUUCAAUUCUAAUUCUAAUUCUAAUUCCAAUUCCAAUUUUUGUUUGAACUUGAUUUGGAACACAAAAAUUGAGCAUGAUGUCAAGUAUGAGAAUCCAAAUCAAGUCUUAUCAAAUAAACAAGCCUAAUUAAAUUUAGUAAAGCUAAUUAAAGCAGUUUAAUCUUUAUCUUGUAUCAAGUUUAAAUUUUAAAAGUUAAACUCAAUGAAGUUAUAUUGGAGCAUUCAAUUCUCUAGGUUUCUAUGGAGAUUGAGAUGGAAUUUCUUGGCUCAGUUCAACCCCAUUAAAUAACUUUAAAGUUUUUAUUUUGAUACAAUAGUUAAUAUUAUUUCCAAACUCAUAUAAGAGGUUGUGUAGGAAGGCUUCAGGUUUUUUUGUCUGCUUUCUCUCAGUACUAUCUCCAGAAUUUUAAUGCUUUUAGUAUUUUAAUAUUUGAAAAUUAUUUAAAAUAACUGUCUACCAAGAAAAAAAUAAUUUAAUCUUUUCUUCUGCUAGACCACAAAUAAAAAGAGUUGGAACAUAUUUCCCAUUUGUUUCUAAACGGUUGGACUAAUAAUCAACUUAUUGGCAUCAUGCAUUCCAGAUUUGGUAACAUUAAUUUCCAUGACUACACUUAGAACAAAAUAAUUAUAAUCAGUAAACAAAAUCCCCAUAAAUCUUCUCAAAGAUGUUUUGCUGAUUUACUUUCCUUUUAGACAUAAUUUCAUAAGGAAAAAAAUAAAAACGUAAUAAUCUCAAAGAAUCCAAAGAAAUUAUUAUUCCUCCAUGCAACACAAAAUAAGAUACUAUAUAUUUUAAAUCCAUAAGCUAUAAAUUUCCACCAACAUAGUUAAUUAGAUAUAAAGAGAUGGCAAAGUUUUCAUUCAAUUUGUUUAUAUUUGCUGUCAUCUUAAUCUUUGCAACUCGUUAGUUUCUUCUUAUGCAGCUCUUUUCUUUCCUUUGGUAUGAAUAUUAUGUUUUUGUUUAAUUCAACACAAGGGAAUUUUUGUUGCAGACUCAGAGAUGAUGGCGGAGGCAAGAGGACCUGUUAUUUCGUGUAGAUGCAGCAAAACCGAAGACUGUCAGGGUAUUUGUGCCGUGUGCCCCAACUAUAGCUGCAUUAAUAACCUUUGUACUUGCCUUUCAAACGCACCUCCAUUUCCAUAGUCUUAGAAUCUACACACUCCAACAGUUGAAUGAAAUGGUGGGAUUUUUUUUGUGUAAUUUUAAAUAAAUUAUCAUGCAAUGGAUCUAAUAAGAAAAAAUAUUGUAAUUAUUGUAAUUUUCAAUUUCUUUUUACCCUUCUCUGCCCCUCCCCCCCUUUCUAGUAGCGAAAAGUAUGUUACAUUUCAAAUAUAUAAAAAGAGUUACAAUCUUGUUUUAAAACUAAAAGAAAUAACAGUAAGAACAAAAGAUAGGAGAAAAAUUAAGACACAAAAUGAGAUGAUAAUUCUUCUUUCUACUUGUAUCUCAUAAGCUUGUAUAUGGCUUCAAUCUAUAGGGCUUCAACAAUGAUAGGCUAAAAAUAAUAUAAAUAGGAAUAUCAAAACUCGCAAUAAAUUGAAUGGGUAUUUCAUAAGUUGCAAGUUCCACCGUAUUCUUUUGGUGGGGACACUUUGUUAAUUUAUUAACAACACUAUGCACUAGAUGUGUAUCAAAUGGAAACGUGCUCUGUUAAAACUUUGUUAGAAAAAAUUGCAUAAGCACCUAUUAUAAGCUAAAGCAUUAAAAACAUUUUCUAGGAAAACUUAGCUGGACAAUACCUUGGGUAAAGGAAAGAGUAAACAUGUUUUUGACUCCCCCUAAUUUUAAAAAUAUUGAAACAUGGUACAAAUUUUGAAACAAUUUUUUGUUGCUAAAUACUUCGUCAAAGAGAAUCAUACUAUGAAGACAUGCCUUUUUAAUUACAACGAUAACCAUUGAGUUUCAUUGUAUACUCUAGGUUCAUUUGCCAAUAACUCUUUUGUACAUCAUAAACCUUGGUUGUUUGUUUCCAUUUAUUCACAAUCUCUUGCAACAAAUUUUGACAUUUUAACUGUAGUGAUAGUUUUAUUAUCCUUGUAGCGAGCCCAAGAUACCAAUUGCUCCCACCCAUGAUUUUGAAUUUUAAAUACUUUAUUUAAAUGAUUGUGAUGUUUAGAAAUUUAAAAAAUAAACUAAUUUUCUUCUAAAUUUUAUUACUUAGCGAUCCGCUGCUUGGGAUAGGAAGAACUUAAACCUUCGGCCUGACAAACCUAGGAAGUCAUCUAGGUGAGAAUUAACCCAAAAUUGGUAUUACCUAUCCAUGGACCUCUUACCUCAAGUUGGUCUGGACUGUGAGGUCGAAAGAUAAGUAGUUGUUGCCAACUCAUUAGUUUAGUGGAAGAUCGAGAGAUCCUACUAGGUUAGCGGCUAAUUGAUUGAGUAGAACCAAAAAUAGGAUUUAGUUAUGACCACUGAAGCGAGCUAAUCACUCAUGCUUAGAUUUUAGUGAAUCACAUAUUAGUUCUCCAUCUUUUUUAUUUUAUGCAAGUUUAUUUCUUUUCUUAUAAAAACAAUUGUUUUUCACUUUAUGGUCAUCUUACUAUAAUUUAUUUAAAUUAGUAAUUAGAUCUAUUUGCGUUUAGGUAAAUAUUAAUUUAGUACUUGUCUCCCUUGGGUACGAUCCUCGAGUACUCACCUACUUCGUUGUAAAACUAUAUUACAACCUGACUCGUAUACUUGAGGACACCGCCUCAGUUCAAUAUAUACUUUUAGCAAUAUUCACACUCUGGAUUCUAGUACGUCCGAAGUUGGUCACUGUCCAAAGUGGGCGUAGUUUAUCUGCAAAUCAGUGGUGGCUCAUCUACAAUCCGGAGUGAUAUGUUAGACGAGUUCCGGGGAAUUCAUACGUGAGGUGUGUAGCGGAUUUGGGUAGGACUUUUCUGUUAAUUUGAAACUUCAAUGCAUUCAUAAGCAUGUGCAUAUAAAAUUGUGAAUACCAAUAUAACGAAGUGAAGCGUUUUAUGUGAAAAACUGUUAAUCUGAGGUGCUUUAUGGUUGUCUUUAAUCUCACGAUUGCUAAUUCAUGUGCCUUAUUGUUUUGUUGUUUUAUUUUGAUUUUCUUGUGACUGAACUCACACAGAGCUUCAUAGCUCAAUGCCCUUUAGUUCCCAUCCUUAUAGAUAACCCACCAGGUUAGGAUGCGACAUGUGGAGGGCUCGAACAAGUUUUAAUGUUAUGAAAGUAUUGUUAUGCUUAUUUUAAAAUUUAUGUUAUUUUGGAACUGUACUGUAUUAUUUAUUUUCUGCCAUUGGAUUCAUAUUUAGGUUUUGGUUUUAUAUUGCAAGCAUGACAUAUAAAUUGUUGUUUUUAAGAUGAUGAAAUAUGGAUUUCAAUUAAAUAUGCAUGAAAUAUAGAUGUUAGUAAAACUCAGGAAAAGCCAUUUUUCCGCUGAAAGGUCAUAAUUAAAUUUUGUCUAAUAAAUAGAAUGUAACUAUGUUUCCAAUAGUUAUCACCUUUUACAAGAAAAAUAUUAGUUUAAUUGUAUUUUAUAUGCCCAUGUUUUGUUUUCUAAAAAUAGACAGAGUCUUUGUAAAGAUAAAUAAAAUGUUUUAAUGUGACUAUUUAAAAUCUUCGAUUGCACUAGGCCAUCACGGUGGUCGAUGUAAUCUCCCGAACUCGGGCCUACCGUCUAGGCCAAUUUGGGGAGGUUACAAUUUCAAUGCCAUAAAGUACUAAAACCAUAUUUUCAUUCAUCUUCAGCAUAGAUUAUUUCAUGUUGAUUUGAGUUGAAUUAAAAUAUUUAAUUUGAACUUAUAAAUUUGCCAUAUUUAAGGGAAAAAAAGUGGUUUUACUUCAAACAAAAAGAAGAGAUAAAUUGUUACCAACUAAAUUGAUGAACAAGAACUUGAUAUGAUAUAUACGUGAAUACAAUAAAAAUACAUUAAUUGCGCUAUAAUUGUGUAUAAUAUACUUUUUAUUUAGUUAUAUUGUGUUUAUACAAAAUUAGUAAAGAUAAAAUACUAUGCAUCAAAUAUGUUCAAUUCUAAUUCUAAUUCUAAUUCCAAUUCCAAUUUUUGUUUGAACUUGAUUUGGAACACAAAAAUUGAGCAUGAUGUCAAGUAUGAGAAUCCAAAUCAAGUCUUAUCAAAUAAACAAGCCUAAUUAAAUUUAGUAAAGCUAAUUAAAGCAGUUUAAUCUUUAUCUUGUAUCAAGUUUAAAUUUUAAAAGUUAAACUCAAUGAAGUUAUAUUGGAGCAUUCAAUUCUCUAGGUUUCUAUGGAGAUUGAGAUGGAAUUUCUUGGCUCAGUUCAACCCCAUUAAAUAACUUUAAAGUUUUUAUUUUGAUACAAUAGUUAAUAUUAUUUCCAAACUCAUAUAAGAGGUUGUGUAGGAAGGCUUCAGGUUUUUUUGUCUGCUUUCUCUCAGUACUAUCUCCAGAAUUUUAAUGCUUUUAGUAUUUUAAUAUUUGAAAAUUAUUUAAAAUAACUGUCUACCAAGAAAAAAAUAAUUUAAUCUUUUCUUCUGCUAGACCACAAAUAAAAAGAGUUGGAACAUAUUUCCCAUUUGUUUCUAAACGGUUGGACUAAUAAUCAACUUAUUGGCAUCAUGCAUUCCAGAUUUGGUAACAUUAAUUUCCAUGACUACACUUAGAACAAAAUAAUUAUAAUCAGUAAACAAAAUCCCCAUAAAUCUUCUCAAAGAUGUUUUGCUGAUUUACUUUCCUUUUAGACAUAAUUUCAUAAGGAAAAAAAUAAAAACGUAAUAAUCUCAAAGAAUCCAAAGAAAUUAUUAUUCCUCCAUGCAACACAAAAUAAGAUACUAUAUAUUUUAAAUCCAUAAGCUAUAAAUUUCCACCAACAUAGUUAAUUAGAUAUAAAGAGAUGGCAAAGUUUUCAUUCAAUUUGUUUAUAUUUGCUGUCAUCUUAAUCUUUGCAACUCGUUAGUUUCUUCUUAUGCAGCUCUUUUCUUUCCUUUGGUAUGAAUAUUAUGUUUUUGUUUAAUUCAACACAAGGGAAUUUUUGUUGCAGACUCAGAGAUGAUGGCAGAGGCAAGAGGACCUGUUAUUUCGUGUAGAUGCAGCAAAACCGAAGACUGUCAGGGUAUUUGUGCCGUGUGCCCCAACUAUAGCUGCAUUAAUAACCUUUGUACUUGCCUUUCAAACGCACCUCCAUUUCCAUAGUCUUAGAAUCUACACACUCCAACAGUUGAAUGAAAUGGUGGGAUUUUUUUGUGUAAUUUUAAAUAAAUUAUCAUGCAAUGGAUCUAAUAAGAAAAAAUAUUGUAAUUAUUGUAAUUUUCAAUUUCUUUUUACCCUUCUCUGCCCCUCCCCCCCUUUCUAGUAGCGAAAAGUAUGUUACAUUUCAAAUAUAUAAAAAGAGUUACAAUCUUGUUUUAAAACUAAAAGAAAUAACAGUAAGAACAAAAGAUAGGAGAAAAAUUAAGACACAAAAUGAGAUGAUAAUUCUUCUUUCUACUUGUAUCUCAUAAGCUUGUAUAUGGCUUCAAUCUAUAGGGCUUCAACAAUGAUAGGCUAAAAAUAAUAUAAAUAGGAAUAUCAAAACUCGCAAUAAAUUGAAUGGGUAUUUCAUAAGUUGCAAGUUCCACCGUAUUCUUUUGGUGGGGACACUUUGUUAAUUUAUUAACAACACUAUGCACUAGAUAUGUAUCAAAUGGAAACGUGCUCUGUUAAAACUUUGUUAGAAAAAAUUGCAUAAGCACCUAUUAUAAGCUAAAACAUUAAAAACAUUUUCUAGGAAAACUUAGCUGGACAAUACCUUGGGUAAAGGAAAGAGUAAACAUGUUUUAGACUCACCCUAAUUUUAAAAAUAUUGAACAUGGUACAAAUUUUGAAACAAUUUUUUGAUGCUAAAUACUUCGUCCAAGAGAAUCAUACUAUGAAGACAUGUCGUUUUAAUUACAAUGAUAACCAUUGAGUUUCAUUGUAUACUCUAGGUUCAUUUUCCAAUAACUCUUUUGCACAUCAUAAUAUAGGUGGGGGCGAAUAAAACUUUAAAUAAAGCGAAAUUAAUACAUGCGUUAAAGCCUCCAUUAAUUUCUUAUAAGUUUAUUUUUAUAUCCACAAUCAAAUUUUUCUUAUGCGGACAUGAUACCUUGCUAUUGCAUAUGACAUAAGAAAAACUGUAUAUUAAAUUUAGCCUCCUGGCUUUUGAGAUUUCUACAUCCUAUCUCUCUUUCUUACUCUGUUGCAAGGAUGUUCAUGUAGACCACCUGAAAGAUAGUUGUAUGGUUUCUUUAUUCUUAUUGAAACACAUAUCGAGUCUUUCUUGAAAUCACUGUGACUUUAAUAGUCAUUACCAAUAUGGUUUGACUCUUGCAGGUUUUGAGUACAUUGGCGUGUCAUUCGGCCCAAUUAAAAGCUAUUAUUGUUGUUUCAAUUUGAGAUCGCUCCCUUCUAGUUUUCUUCUUCUUUUCUCGUUUUGGUUUCCUACCCUUUAUAUGCUUGUUGUAGUAUUUUUCCUUAAGUUAAUUUUGGAAAUACAUAGAUUCUAUUGAAUGCAGUGCCAUUAAUCUUAUUAACUAGAUAGGAAUUAACCUAAAAUUGGUAUUGCCUAUCCAUGAACCUCUUACCUCAAGUUGGUUUGGACUGUGAGGUCGAAAGAUAAGUAGUUGUUGCCAACUCAUUAGUUUAGUGGAAGAUCGAGAGAGCCUACUAGGUUAGCGGCUAAUUGAUUGAGUAGAACCUAAAAUAGGAUUUAGUUAUGACCACUGAAGCGAGCUAAUCACUCAUGCUUUGAUUUUUAUUAAAUCACAUAUUAGUUCUCCAGCUUUUUUAUUUUAUGCAAGUUUAUUUCUUUUCUUAUAAAAACAAUUGUUUUUCACUUUAUGAUCAUCGUACUAUAAUUUAUUUAAAUUAGUAAUUAGAUCUAUUUGCUUUUAGGUUAAUAUUAAUUUAGUACUUGUCUCCCUUGGGUUCGAUCCUCGAGUACUCACCUACUUCGUUGUAAAACUAUAUUACAACUUGACUCGUAUACUUGAGGACACCGCCUCAAUUCAAUUAUACUUUUAGCAAUAUUCACACUCUGGAUUCUAGUACGUCCGAAGGCGGUCACUUUCCAAAGUGGCGCGUAGUUUUUCUGCAAAUGAGUGGUGGCUUGUCUACAAUCUGGAGUGAUAUGUUAGACGAGUUCUAGGGAAUUCAUACGUGAUUUGUGUAGCGGAGUUGGGUAGGACUUUUCUGUUAAUUUAAAACUUCAAUGCAUUCAUAAGCAUGUGCAUAUAAAAUUGUGAAUACCAAUAUAGUGAACUGAAGCGUUUUAUGUGAAAAACCGUUAAUCUGAGGUGCUUUAUGGUUGUCUUUAAUCUCAGGAUUGCUAAUUCAUGUGCCUUGUUGGUUUGUUGUUUUAUUUUGGUUUUCUUGUGACUGAAGUCAUACUGAGCUUCAUAGCUCACUUCCUUUUAAUUCUCAUCCUUACAGAUAACUCCUCAGGUUAGGACACGGACGCGACAUACGGAGUGCUCGAAAAAGUUUUAAUGUUAUGAAAGUAUUAUUAUGCUUAUUUUAAAAUUUAUGUUAUUUCGGAACUGUACUAUAUUAUUUAUUUUCUGGUAUAUGGAUUCAUAUUUAGGUUUUGGUUUUAUAUUGCAAGCAUGACAUAUAAAUUGUUUUUUUUUUAAGAUGAUGUAAUAUGGAUUUCAAUUAAAUAUGCAUGAAAUAUAGAUGUUAGUAAAACUCAGGAAAAGCCCUUUUUCCCUAAAAAGUCAUAAUUAAAAUUUGUCUAAUAACUAGAAUGUAACAAUAUUUCCAAUAGUUAUCACCGUUUACAAGAAAAAUAUUACUUUAAUUGUAUUUUAUAUACCCAUGAUUUGUUUUCUAAAAAUAGACAGAGUCCUUCUAAAGAUAAAAAAAUGUUUUAAUGUGACUUUUUAAAAUCUUCGAUUGCACUAGGCCAUCUGGGUGGCCGAUGUAAUCUCCUGAACUCGGGCCUACCGUCUAGGCCCAUUUGGGGAGGUUACAAUUUCAAUGGCAUAAAGUACUAAAACCAUAUUUCCAAUCAUCUUCAGCAUAGAUUAUUUCAUGUUGAUUUGAGUUGAAUUAAAAUAUUUAAUUUGAACUUAUAAAUUUGCCAUUUGUAAAGAAAAAAAAAGUGAUUUUACUUUAAACAAAAAAGAAUAGAUAAAUUGUUACCAACUAAAUUGAUGAACAAGAACAUGAUAUAAUAUGCGCUACAGUUGUAUAUAAUAUCCUUUUUAUUUAGGUAUAUUGUGUUUGUGCAAAAUUAGUAAGGAUAAAAAACUAUGCAUCAAAUAUGUUCAAUUCUAAUUCUAAUUCUAAUUCUAAUUCUAAUUCCAAUUCCAAUUUGAGUUUGAAUUUGAUUUGGAACACAAAAAUUGAGCAUGAUGUCAAGUAUGAGAAUCUAACUCAAGUUUUAUCAAAUAAACAAGCCUCAUUAAAUUUAGUAAAGCUAAUUAAAGCAGUUUAAUCUUUAUCUUGUAUCAAGUUUAUAUUUUAAAAGUGACACUUAAUAAGCAUGACUUUUGCUACUGAGUUGAUCUGUUAGAAACAUUUUAUUUUCUACCAUAUUAAACUAUUAUAGGCAUAUUGAUUGCUGUCGUAUUGUUCUGUUCAAUGUAUAAUUAAAUGCUACCGUAUUAAUCCGUUUUGUGCUUGCCAUUUUGCAUUGCAUUGGGUGAGAUGACAUGUAAGGAGGAAGAAGUGACAUUUUACCUACAAAUUUAUUUUGCACCCACAGCCUAGUGGUAGUGUUUAUCCUUUAACUACAAAUAUGUCGUACAUCUACAACCCAUCUGUAACUUUAACCUGCAAAUAUGUUGUGCAUCUAUAGUCCAGUGGCAAAUUUUAUCUGCGAUAUUUUACUAUGUAUUCAUAGCCCAGUGACAAAUUUCAUCUACGAUUUUUUUUUUUUGUAUCCAUAGCCCAAUGAUAGAUUUUAUCUAUGAAACUAAUGGUGGUUAAACCACAACUCGGUGUGUAGGUGGUUGGAGUUUAGGGGAACUCCCAUUGUAGUGUGUAGCGGUGGGGUAGGAUCUUUUCUGUUUAACCAAAAUUUUAUGGCAUACAUAAAGCAUGUGCAUACAAUUUGGAUUUUUUGAGAUGACAUAUAUGUAUUCAUUGUGGAAGUGAUCUGAAAUAUUGAUAUUCUGAAAUUGCUAUUGUGUAUUGUUCUAUGCAUUAUGUUUCUAUAUGCUUAAGAGUUUGCAUUAGUUUACUCGUGAUGGAACUUACACUGACCUUCAUAACUUACUCCCUUUUCUUUUUCCAUCUUUACAGAUAACCCACCAGGGUAGGACGCGAACGCAAAAUAUGGAGGGCUUGGAAACGUUUUAUUUUUUUGAAAGUAUUAUUAGGCUUAUUUUUAUUAUUUCUAUUAUUUUGAAAUUGUACUGUUUUAUUUAUUUUGUGGCAUGGGGUUCAUAUGUAGGGUUUAUUUAGCAUGCAUAACAUUUAACUUAAUUUUAAAAUAAGGUUUUUAUUUAAUUAAGGCAUGAAAUAUAGUUUAUUAAAGCUAAGUAAAAAAAAUCACCUUUUCGUUGUUAGAUUGUAGAUAAAAAUUGAGUACUAAAUAAAUGAAAAACUAAGUUUUCUUAAAAGUAGUCAUCGUUACAUAGGAAAGUUAAAUUAAAUCGGUUUUUGAUAACUUGUGAGUUUUUCUAAAAAUAGACUAAGUUUUCUUCCAAAAUAAAUAAAUGUUUUAAAAUGCCUAUUUUAUAAACCCCAAUCGUACUAGGCCAUCUCGGUGGCCGAUGUAAUCUCCCGAAUUCGGGUUUAACAUCUAGGCCAGAUUGAGAAGAUUACAACUUUUAUGAAUAUAAAACCGAACAAUCACUUUUUGCUUUUCAGAAACCUCUCUUUUCAGCUUUGCUAACAUAUUUCAUGAGGCUGAGACUCCUCCGUUGAUAGUCUUGGUUGUCUGUUUCCCUUUAUUCACAAUCUCUUGCGAUAAAUUUUGACAUUUUAACUGCAGUGACACUGUCAUUAGCCUUGUAGUGAGCCCAACAUAGCAACUCCUCCCACCUAUGAUUUUGAAUUUUUAAUACUUUAUUUAAUUGAUUUUGAUGUUUUGAAUUUUUUUUAAAAAUAAAUAAAUUAUUGAAAAAAAAUUCGAUAGUUUCAGUCGAUUUGUUACUAUAAUAUCAAAAUUAAUUAAAUUAAACUUCUUCUAAAUUUUAUUUUUUAUAUUUUCAAGUUAUUCAUAACGAAUUCAAUUCAAAUAACUCAUAUUUAAUAUUUUUUUUACAAAACUUAAAUUUAUUUUGAUUAUAUAAUAUCGAAUCUUUCAUUUGGUUAUUUUCUUAAAUACUAUUAUUUAAGCCAUUUGAACCUAAUACUCUAAAAGUGAGAGUUGAAGGGCGACCAAUAUCAGUGGCAUAAAGUACUAAAAACAUAUUUCAGUCAUCUUCAAUAUAGAUUAUUUGAUGUUGAUCUGAGCUAAAUUAAUAUAUUUAAUUCUGACUUGUAAAUUUGCCAUUUGUAAAAAAGAAGAAGAAGUGAUUUUACUUCAAACAAUAAUAAUAGAUUUGUUACCAUCUAAAUUGAUGAACAAGAUAUAUACUUGAAUACGGUAACAAUAAAUUAAUUGUGCUACAGUCUGUCUUAUUUAUAAUAUCUUUUUUAUUUAGGUAUAUAGUGUUUGUACAAAAUUAGUAAAGACCAAAACCCUAUGUAUCAAAUAUGUCAAGUAUGAGAAUCCAACUCAAGUUUUAUCAAAUAAACAAGCCUAAUUAAAUUUAGUAAAGCUAAUUAAAGCAGUUUAAUCUUUACCUUGUAUCAAGUUUAUAUUUCAAAACUGAAAGUCAAUGAAGCUAUAUUGGAGCAUUCAAUUCUAGGCUUAGUUCUACCCCAUUAAAUAACUUUAAAGUUUUUAUAUUGAUACAAGAGUUAAUAUUAUUUUCAAACACAUAUAACUGGUGGUGUAGGAAGGGGUCAAACUUUUGGUCCGCUUUCUCUCCGUACUAUUUCAAAAGGUUUAAUUUUUUAGUAUUUUAAUAUUUAAAACUUAGUAAAAAAAAUAACUUUGACUAACAAGAAAAAUAUAAUUUAAUCUUUUCUUAUCCUAGACCACAUAAAAAAUUUGGAACAUAAUUCACAUUUGUUUCUAAACGGUUGGACUAAUAAUCAAUUAAUUGGCAUCAUGGAUUCUAGAUUUUGUAGUAUUAAUUUCCAUGACUACACUUAGAACAAAAUAAUAAUAAUUAGUAAAAAAAAUCCCCAUAAAUCUUCUCAAGGAUGUUUUGCUGAUUUACUUUCCUUUCUACACAUAGUUUCAUAAGGAAAAUUAUUAAAACAUAGUAAUCUCAAAGAAUCCAAAGAAAUUAAUAUUACUCUAUGCAACACAAAAUAAGAUACUAUAUAUAUUAAAGCCAUAAGCUAUACAUUGCCACCAACAUAUUUAAUUAGAUAUAAAGAGAUGGAGAAGCUUUCAUUCAAUUUGUUUAUAUUCGCUAUUAUCUUAAUCUUUGCAACUCGUUAGUUUCUUCUUAUGCAACCCUUUUAUUUCAUUUGGUAUGAAUAUUAUCUUUUUCGUUUAACCUAAUACAAGGGAAUUUUGGUUGCAGAUCCAGAGAUGAUGGCAGAGGCAAGAGGACCUGUCAUUUCGUGUAGAUGCAGUAAAAUCGAAGAUUGUCACGGUAUUUGCGCCGCGUGCCCCAACUAUAAGUGCAUUAAUAACCUUUGUACUUGCCUUUCAGACGCACCUCCAUUUCCAUAGUCUUAGAAUCUACACACUCCUAUAGUUGAAUUAAAUGGUGGGGUUUUUUUUUGUGUAAUUUGAAAUAAAU
rnacentral:lncRNA from 1 species